GCGUGGUUAGUUUAUCGGUAGAAUAUAUCGUUGCCAACGAUGUGAGCCGGGUUCGAUUCCCGGACCGCGCA
rnacentral:tRNA from 1 species